AUUGAACGCUGGCGGUAUGCUUAACACAUGCAAGUCGAACGGUAGCAGCUCUUCGGAGGCUGACGAGUGGCGGACGGGUGAGUAACGCGUAGGAAUCUGCCUGUUAGUGGGGGACAACGUGUGGAAACGCACGCUAAUACCGCAUACGCCCUACGGGGGAAAGGAGGGGACCUUCGGGCCUUUCGCUAACAGAUGAGCCUGCGUCAGAUUAGCUAGAUGGUAGGGUAAAGGCCUACCAUGGCGACGAUCUAUAGCUGUUCUGAGAGGAAGAUCAGCCACACUGGGACUGAGACACGGCCCAGACUCCUACGGGAGGCAGCAGUGGGGAAUAUUGGACAAUAGGCGAAAGCCUGAUCCAGCAAUACCGCGUGUGUGAAGAAGGCCUUAGGGUUGUAAAGCACUUUCAAUGGGGAGGAAAAAGAGUAAGCUAAUACCUUGCUUAUUGACAUUACCCAUACAAGAAGCACCGGCUAACUCCGUGCCAGCCGCCGCCGUAACAC
rnacentral:rRNA from 1 species